AAGGUGUUAGCACCCUUUGUAUCCAUGGUUAUCCAUGGGCUCUUAAUUGCUCGAUCACUUAUAUUAUUUUUGUCUGAAAAAAAGUGUUUGUGAAUUGUUUGGAAAAUUGUUUUUUUGAAAGAGAAUUUAACUUUGUAAUGAUUCUUGUAUGAAUACAUACAAAGUAGUUAUCUCGUUUAGUUUUGGAAAUUGUUUAGAAAAAUAUAACUCGGUAAUGAUUCUAGUAUGAAUAUAUACCAAGUGGUGAUUUUCUAAAG
rnacentral:lncRNA from 1 species